rnacentral:rRNA from 1 species
CAAUAGCGUAUAUUAAAGUUGUUGCAGUUAAAAAGCUCGUAGUUGGAUUUCGGGACGGGCCAGUUGGUCCGCCGCAAGGUGUGUUACUGACUGGUCUGUUCUUCUUCGCAAAGACUUCGUAUGCUCUUCGUUGAGUGUGCGUAGGAUUUACGACGUUUACUUUGAAAAAAUUAGAGUGUUCAAAGCAGGCUAUCGCUUGAAUACAUGAGCAUGGAAUAAUGGAAUAGGACUUUGGUCCUAUUUUGUUGGUUUCUAGGACCGAAGUAAUGAUUAAGAGGGACAAUUGGGGGCAUCCGUAUUUCGUUGUCAGAGGUGAAAUUCUUGGAUUUACGAAAGACGAACAACUGCGAAAGCACUUGCCAAGAGUGUUUUCAUUAA